rnacentral:rRNA from 1 species
UACAGAGGUCUCAAGCGUUGUUCGGAUUCAUUGGGCGUAAAGGGUGCGUAGGUGGCGCCGUAAGUCGGGUGUGAAAUUUCGGAGCUUAACUGCGAAACUGCAUUCGAUACUGCGGUGCUUGAGGACUGGAGAGGAGACUGGAAUUCAUGGUGUAGCAGUGAAAUGCGUAGAGAUCAUGAGGAAGACCAGUGGCGAAGGCGACCAUCUGGACGGAUACUGACGCUGAGACGCGAAAGCGUGGGUAGCAAACAGG